ensembl:lncRNA
UGGACUCCUAACCUGCAGAAACUUAGAUGAUGUUUUAUUAUGCUGCAUAAUUAUGCAAAACUGUCUCUAAUCGGAGUAUUUUGAGAGCAUUUGUGUGACGUUGUGUUUAUAUCUUAUUUGUUCAGAGCAGUCAGUGAUGUUCUCGCUCGCUGACUGAAGUCUUAAUUACAUUUUAACCGAUAUUGAUCCGGUGCGCGCAGUCUGCUGUAGUAAACACGCCGCCCGCGGUGACGUCACGCCGGGCUCCCGGUAACGGAGCUGAUCCGCGCGCGCUCCGCGCUCAGCCGCAGGAAACAACGGCACAUGAGGCACGAGAGAAAGUACCGAGGCUCUACGCUUUUCUGCUCUCACUGGUCACCGAGUUUCAGUCUGUUUGUUUGCGGCGGAUUAACGAAGUCUUGGAUUUAGUGAGGAAGAAGAGCAGUUUGAGAGAUGAAGCUCGCGCUGGUGGUGUGAUGACGAGCGAGUGAUGAGCCGCUGUGAGGAAUGUCCGUCUGUCUGCUGCUGGUCCUCCUCACACUGACCGCAAACACUCAGGUGAAAACUACAAUAUUAGCUUUGAAUAGAUAUAAUAGCAUUUAGAGAAAGCAUUGUGUGUGUGUGUGUGUGUGUGUGUGUGUGUGUGUGUGUGUGUGUGUGUGUGUGUGUGUGUGUGUGUGUGUCUUCUGCUCAGCAAGGCUGCAUUUAUUUGAUCAAAAGUGCGUUAAAAAUCUGAAAUAUUGUUAUGAUUUAAAAUAGCUGUUUUCUAUGUGAAUCUAUUGUAAAAUGUAAUUUACUCUAGCCUUCAGUCACAUGAUUCCUAAGAAAUCAUUCUAAUACACUGAUUUGCUGCUCAAGAAACAUUUCUGAUUAUCAUCAAUGUUGAAAACAGUUGUGCUGUGCAAUAUUUUUGUGGAAAUGGUGAACAAUUUUAUUUAUCAGGAUUCACAGACGAAUAGAAAGUUCAAAAGAACAGCAUUUAUUUGAAAUAGAAAUCUUUUGUAACAUUGUAAAUGUCACCUAGGAUAAAUUUAAUGCAUCCUUGCGGAAUAAAAAUAUUAAUUUAUAUGUAUUUUUUUAACCU